rnacentral:misc_RNA from 1 species
GACGCGGACCCGGCGCAG